rnacentral:rRNA from 1 species
GGCAACCCUGACGGAGCAACGCCGCGUGGGGGAGGAAUGUCUGUGGAUUGUAAACCCCUUUUCUCAGGGAAGAAGUCUGACGGUACCUGAGGAAUCAGCAUCGGCUAACUCCGUGCCAGCAGCCGCGGUAAGACGGAGGAUGCAAGCGUUAUCCGGAAUUAUUGGGCGUAAAGCGUCCGUAGGCGGUUUAUCAAGUCUGCCGUUAAAGACUGCAGCUUAACUGUGGGCGAGCGGUGGAAACUGAUGAACUAGAGUACGGUAGGGGUAGAGGGAAUUCCCAGUGUAGCGGUGAAAUGCGUAGAUAUUGGGAAGAACACCAGUGGCGAAGGCGCUCUACUGGGCCGUAACUGACGCUGAGGGACGAAAGCUAGGGGAGCG